rnacentral:lncRNA from 1 species
AAUAAAGCUUUUAUGGCACGCCAAAAGAGCUGUAAUGUAUACCAAUUAAGGCGUGCAAAAUGCGCUGUAAAUAGUUGUGCAAACCUGAUACGAGAACUCAAUCAUGGUGCGCCUAAUUAACGCUUGCGGCAAGCGAAUGCACGCUAUAAAAAGAAAAGGCUUUUUAUGGCUUGACCUUUCGUGGCCUGCAGCCGCACACCGUGAAUUGUCAUUUACGGCAUGCGAAUACCCAAUUUUCUUGUAGUGGACUACUCUAGAUGUUGUGAAAUUCUCAGUAAAGGAUGUUUUUUUUUUUUUUUUUCCGAUGAAAAGUAAUUAGAAAGUGUGUUUUAUGAAAAAGGCUGAGUAAUAAAUAUUAAUUAACUAAAAAAAAAGAAAAGAAGAGAUUUUAUGUGGGUGGGAUCACAGGGAUGGGGUGUGUGGAGGAGUGCUUUGGUGGGUUGAGUAUUAAUAUUGGAUUAUAAAAUAUCAAGUCACCCGGGCUAUAACCCAUGUUAGUAUGGACAUAGGUCCGUUGGUAAGCAGAACCAAAAUCCAUGCUAGAUAUAUCAAACAUCAUCUUCUUACAUGUCCCGAUGAUUUAGAUACAAGUUAAUCUCUCUCAGCUUAGGAACUAGAUCACACAUUUCCAUAACAUGUCAAUCAUAGUGUAUCUAUUUCAUAACCUAUUAGCAUAACCACGAUACCAGUAAUCAAUUAUGCUUACA